rnacentral:rRNA from 1 species
UUCGCAAUGCCCGAAAGGGUGACGAAGCGACGCCGCGCGUGGGAAGAAGGCCUUCGGGUUGUAAACCACUGUCGGGAGUUAAGAAAUGCAAGGGUGCUAAUAGUAUCCUUGCUUGACUAAGGCUCCGGAGGAAGCCACGGCUAACUCUGUGCCAGCAGCCGCGGUAAUACAGAGGCGGCAAGCGUUGUUCGGAACUAUUGGGCGUAAAGAGCACGUAGGCGGCUAUGUAAGUCGGUUGUGAAAGCCUUCCGCUCAACGGAAGAACAGCAUCCGAUACUGCAUGGCUUGAGUGCGGGAGGGGAGAGUGGAACUUCUGGUGGAGCGGUGAAAUGCGUAGAUAUCAGAAGGAACGCCGGCGGCGAAAGCGGCUCUCUGGCCCAUAACUGACGCUGAGUGUGCGAAAGCUAGGGGAGCAAACGGGAUUAGAUACCCCGGUAGUCCUAGCCGUAAACGAUGGGCACUAAGUAGAGGGGUUUU